GGGUCAUCCAACCAUUUAUUUUGCCCAUUUGCAAACCCUAGCCUAUUGGGGGAUUGAAGAAGAAAGACCUUGGGGAGCCCGAGGCGUAGAUUGGAUAUUUACUUUAGAUUGGCCAUCUUGGAGUGCGUACGAGGUACAGACGCACAGUUUGGUGAUUCACCAGUUUAGGACAUCCCCUUCUGCUGUUUGGAGUGCUCUUCUCAUUUCAGAGCAUAUAAGUUGGUAUAUAUAUUUGUUCGCCGAGUAUGUAUAUAUAUUUGUUCAGGGGUAC